GAAAUGCGAUAAUUAAUGUGAAUUGCAGAAUUCAGUGAAUCAUCGAGUCUUUGAACGCACAUUGCGCCCCCUGGUAUUCCGGGGGGCAUGCCUGUCCGAGCGUCAUUGCUGCCCUCAAGCACGGCUUGUGUGUUGGGCUUCCGUCCCUGGCAACGGGGACGGGCCCAAAAGGCAGUGGCGGCACCAUGUCUGGUCCUCGAGCGUAUGGGGCUUUGACACCCGCUCCCGUAGGUCCAGCUGGCAGCUAGCCUCGCAACCAAUCUUUUUAACCAGGUUGACCUCGGAUCAGGUAGGGAUACCCGCUGAACUUAAGC
rnacentral:misc_RNA from 1 species